AACGCCACAUUUGUAGAUUCAAAAACCGUCCGAUAGAGGGCGAAAAGUCGUUGUAGCAUUAUUCCGUUUUGACGCAUUCGUGCGGAGCAACGGCGACCAAAAAGUCAGUUGUGCGGGGCGCCCCCCGAAGAGUGGACGUGCCAAGGAGCUACACAGACGCAAAGCUCUAAAAAUGGGAAGCCGUGCUCGAAUGUUGGUGAAGCUUUGCGAGCAGCAUGAAUGUUCCGCAUCUAAUAGCAUUGGAGGGCAAUUGCCGCUUGAUUCAAAAACAUCUCCAAUUGAUAUAAGUACAAAUGAAUUACCUAAUGAAGAAAAACAGGAUACCAACUUUACCCAAAACAGUGAUAUGAAUUGGUGUAAUGAACCUAUGACUUCAACUGGAAACGUUUCUUCUCAAAAUAACGGUAAUUUAUCACCCAGUCUUCUUGAAAGCCACAAAAACCUCAGUGAAGGCCAAGACUAUUCACCAAAUGAUAGUGGCGAUGAAUAUGUGCCACAAAAAUCUGCAAAACGCCGCCACCGUGUUGUUUCGAGGUCUUCGAGCUCAUCAUCAUCUAGCUCAUCCAGUUCUUCCUCUAGUUCAUCCAGUACUUCUACUAGCGCAUCGUCAAUAUCGACUACUGACGAGUCUCCUGUGAAUUCUAAUUGUAUGCUUACAAGAGAAGUUUUAGCGCCACCUUUAGAAACAGUUGUUGCUAAAAAAGGUAAAAAAAGAGUUCGUAAUGAAUCGGCUUGGAUAAAAAAUGUGCGAAAGCAACAAAGAAAUUCAGGAAAGCAAUAUGUAUCUAGAAAUGGAAAAACUGUUGCCGAAAAAUCAAUUAAACCACCUUGUUCAGAAAAAUGUAGGCAAAAAUGUCGUGAUAAAAUAACUGAAGAACAAAGAGAGGAAAUAUUUAAAAACUAUUGGGGUUUGGGAACAUUGCAGAGACAACGUGAUUUUAUAAACUCGUGCUUAACAACACUGAAAGUUCCUUACCGUCGAGUGAAAGAAGGAAAUGCUAAAACAAGAAACCAAAACUGUGUUUUUCAUUUUACGGUGAAUGGAGAAAGCAAACGGACAUGCAAAAUUUUUUUUAUUAAUACAUUGGGCAUAUCAGAAAGAGUAUUGCGAACAGUAAUGCAAGGAAGACAAAAUUGUACGACAGGUAUGAUUCCGGAAGAAAAGAGAGGCAAACAUUCUCAUCAUAAUCAAGUUGGUGAGGAAAUCGUACAGUCAGUUCGCGAUCACAUUAAUUCAGUGCCCCGAAUAGAGAGCCACUACACUCGGGCUAACACAAGUCGUGAAUUCAUUGACGGUGGCCUAACUAUUAAGGAAUUGUAUCGCAAUUACGUAUCGAAUAGAGAUGCAAUGCCAGUAGCAUCUUAUGACAUGUAUAACAGAAUUUUUAACACUGAAUUUAACUUAUCCUUCUUUGUCCCUAAGAAGGACCAAUGUGAUCUCUGCGAGUCGUACAAAAAUGCUAUUGGAUCAGACAAACUUAAAUUAGAAGAACCUUAUGAAGAACAUCUUAGACAAAAAGAAUUGAGCAGAAAAGAGAAAACCGAUGAUAUAGCAUUAACUAAAACCGAUGCUGAAACAGUCGUUGCAAUAUACGAUUUACAAGCAGUCAUGCCGGUUCCAACUGGGAAUAGCUCGGCGUUUUUUUUUCAGGUUUCUCCUUGGCAUGUACUACUAUGCAGUUGAAACUCUACCAAUUACGUCAAUCACGCACAAAUUUUUGAUUCGCGGCCACACCCAGAAUGAGGGUGACAACGCUCACUCACUGAUUGAAAAGGCAAUUAAAAGAGCAAAGAGAUCUGGUCCUAUUUACAGUCCUCACCAGUACGUGCAACUGGUAAGGAAUGCCAAGAAAACUGGUAAACCUUUUGUGGUUCACGAGCUAAACUAUGACGAUUUUUAUGAUCUAAAAAAGCUGUUUGAGGAUAUUGGGUUAAAUAUUAACAAAGAUCUAAAAGGCAAUCCGAUAAAAUUAACAGAAAUAAAAGCUAUUCGAUUUGUAAAAAGCAUUGACACUUACACUAUAAAGUACUCUUACGCAGAUGAAUGGCAACAAGUAAGCACAAAACCCACAAAAAAUUUAAGGAAAACACGCUCUGACUUUAAUUUAAGUAUUACAGAUAUUUGCCUAGAGCCAGCUUAUAAUUCAAAGAUAGCAAUUUCAGAUCAAAAAAAGCAGGAUUUGCGUAUUUUGCUAGAAAAAAAUAUUGUUCCUAGAUGUUAUUCUGGAUUUUACGAAAGCUUGUUUUAAUUGUUUACUAGUAGCUAUACUAAUUGUUUUUCUUUUUAAAAGAUUUUUUUAUUAACUUACGUGAUUAUUUUGUAACUGUGAGACAUUUACGUACUUAUUAUAACGAUAAAAGACUAAAACUGUUAAAACUUUUCUUUAUUAAUUGAGUGUAAGCAAUAAGACAAUAAUAUAACAUUAAGAUAAUUGUAGUAAAUGACUGUGAUUUAAACAUGCCAUAUUAGUAACUGAUAAGACUGUACUUAGUCUACAAAAUGUUGAAUACUUAGUUCUUAAAUGUAAUUUAAGUAUAAUGUGAGGGAUCCAUUGUUAUUAUUGUGUGUUGGUUAUGGUCGUACAUAAAUUAAUACUCCGUUAUGCUGGUGCAUAUAAUAUUAUGUCAAAGAUCUCUUAAAAUUUUGUAUAAGUAUAAUAAAAACAGAAUAUUAUUGAAAAAUAAAGUUCUUUUAUUUGAAGAAUCAAACGACUUAAUUUCUUUAACUGUCUUCACCGAGGGAAACAACGACGCAUUUGUAAGUACUAUAACGAAAAAAAUUUUUUUUUACCGUUUUUGGAGUAGUAAAUAAUAAAAAAAAUGUGAUUAUUUAUGAACCAAGAGUUCUAGCUAUAAUAAAACAAUUUUAAAAUAAUAAUUAGCCCUAAGAAUGCUUCAGAAUCUUCUUUUGAACCUAGAAAUAAUCUUUAUUCUGAUCUGGUGUAAAGUUAACUUAUUUGCAUUUGUGUCACUGUCGCUCCAAAUGAGCGAUA